rnacentral:rRNA from 1 species
GAAGGAUGCAAGCGUUAUCCGGAUUCAUUGGGUUUAAAGGGAGCGUAGGUGGCCUUAUAAGUCAGCGGUGAAAUCUCUCAGCUUAACUGAGAAAUUGCCAUUGAUACUGUAGGGCUUGAGUACAGAUGCCGUUGGCGGAAUAUGACAUGUAGUGGUGAAAUACAUAGAGAUGUCAUAGAACACCGAUUGCGAAGGCAGCUGACGAAACUGUAACUGACACUGAGGCUCGAAAGUGCGGGGAUCAAACAGGAUUAGAUACCCUGGUAGUCCGCACUGUAAACGAUGAUUACUCGCUGCUGGAGGGCAACCUUCAGUGGCUUAGCAAAAGCGAUAAGUAAUCCACCUGGGGAGUACGCCGGCAACGGUG